AUGAACGCUAGCGACAGGCUUAACACAUGCAAGUCGAGGGGCAGCACAGGUAGCAAUACCGGGUGGCGACCGGCGCACGGGUGAGUAACGCGUAUGCAACUUGCCUAUCAGAGGGGGAUAACCCGGCGAAAGUCGGACUAAUACCGCAUGAAGCAGGGAUCCCGCAUGGGAAUAUUUGCUAAAGAUUCAUCGCUGAUAGAUAGGCAUGCGUUCCAUUAGGCAGUUGGCGGGGUAACGGCCCACCAAACCGACGAUGGAUAGGGGUUCUGAGAGGAAGGUCCCCCACAUUGGUACUGAGACACGGACCAAACUCCUACGGGAGGCAGCAGUGAGGAAUAUUGGUCAAUGGCCGAGAGGCUGAACCAGCCAAGUCGCGUGAGGGAUGAAGGUUCUAUGGAUCGUAAACCUCUUUUAUAAGGGAAUAAAGUGCGGGACGUGUCCCGUUUUGUAUGUACCUUAUGAAUAAGGAUCGGCUAACUCCGUGCCAGCAGCCGCGGUAAUACGGAGGAUCCGAGCGUUAUCCGGAUUUAUUGGGUUUAAAGGGUGCGUAGGCGGCCUUUUAAGUCAGCGGUGAAAGUCUGUGGCUCAACCAUAGAAUUGCCGUUGAAACUGGGGGGCUUGAGUAUGUUUGAGGCAGGCGGAAUGCGUGGUGUAGCGGUGAAAUGCAUAGAUAUCACGCAGAACCCCGAUUGCGAAGGCAGCCUGCCAAGCCAUUACUGACGCUGAUGCACGAAAGCGUGGGGAUCAAACAGGAUUAGAUACCCUGGUAGUCCACGCAGUAAACGAUGAUCACUAGCUGUUUGCGAUACACUGUAAGCGGCACAGCGAAAGCGUUAAGUGAUCCACCUGGGGAGUACGCCGGCAACGGUGAAACUCAAAGGAAUUGACGGGGGCCCGCACAAGCGGAGGAACAUGUGGUUUAAUUCGAUGGUACGCGAGGAACCUUACCCGGGUUUGAACGCAUUCGGACCGAGGUGGAAACACCUUUUCUAGCAAUAGCCGUUUGCGAGGUGCUGCAUGGUUGUCGUCAGCUCGUGCCGUGAGGUGUCGGCUUAAGUGCCAUAACGAGCGCAACCCUUGCCACUAGUUACUAACAGGUAAAGCUGAGGACUCUGGUGGGACUGCCAGCGUAAGCUGCGAGGAAGGCGGGGAUGACGUCAAAUCAGCACGGCCCUUACAUCCGGGGCGACACACGUGUUACAAUGGCGUGGACAAAGGGAAGCCACCUGGCGACAGGGAGCGAAUCCCCAAACCACGUCUCAGUUCGGAUCGGAGUCUGCAACCCGACUCCGUGAAGCUGGAUUCGCUAGUAAUCGCGCAUCAGCCAUGGCGCGGUGAAUACGUUCCCGGGCCUUGUACACACCGCCCGUCAAGCCAUGGGAGCCGGGGGUACCUGAAGUCCGUAACCGCGAGGAUCGGCCUAGGGUAAAACUGGUGACUGGGGCU
rnacentral:rRNA from 1 species